UUUAUUACAACGUAUGAUCCAGAAUUUAUAAAGUGUAACAAUCUACAUAGCACUUAGCUAGCUCUAAUAAAUAAUGGCAGCGGAAAGGUAGCAGAAAUAAUAACGAUGAGUCCCAUCAUAGCCCACCGGCGAAAAGGUUGAGUGAAGACUCGCGACCCUACUGUAUCUCACUGAUCAUCUGAAUAUCCUGCAACAUGAUAUGUUGCAGCCACAAGGGUCAAUACAUUGAAUGUAUUGGCAAUUCACACAAAAUGAUAAUGCAAACCUACGCAUAUAAGCAAUGUAUGACAAACAAAAAGUCAAGUUGGUUCGGCAUAAAUCUAACUUCACCUACCUCCAUGAACUAAUCAAGGUCUCACACGCCACAACCAAUUUAAACCCGCAAGAGAGAACUCACAAACCUACGGUGAGAUGACAAAGAUCUUCAAGAUGUAUCAAGUGCGCUCAGUCGAUGACGCAUUCAAUGGGGACUCCAAAGUGCUCAGCCAUCAACGCAUUCACCUGAUUUAAGUCCCGACAACUCAAGUGCGCUCAGUCAUGGCGCAUUCUCUAGGGACAAUAGAGCGCUCAGCCAUAGACGCAUUCACUCGAGCAAAAGCCCCGAGCCUACAGCUAUAAACUCUCACUACUUCAUAAAACACUCGGUACGAGUCCACGUCUACCAUAGCAUAUCCAAGCACACAAUUAAACAAUGCAAUCCAGGACACACAUAUAGCGACAAGCAAUAUAAGAAUCACACCAAACACAUAACAUAUCAUAGCAAUGCAAAGCAUACAUAUAGAUGAGCAUAAUCAAAAGUGCAAACUUGCCUUGAACGGUGUUGAAGUACUCUAACAC
rnacentral:lncRNA from 1 species